UACGUAGGGUGCGAGCGUUUAAUCGGAAUUACUGGGCGUAAAGCGUGCGCAGGCGGCGCGUUAAGACAGGUGUGAAAGCCCCGAGCUUUAACUUGGGAAUUGCGCUUGUGACUGGCGUGCUGGAGUGUGGCAGAGGGGAGGUGGAAUUCCACGUGUAGCAGUGAAAUGCGUAGAGAUGUGGAGGAACACCGAUGGCGAAGGCAGCCUCCUGG
rnacentral:rRNA from 1 species